GGUCGAAUAUGUUAUGUGAUAUGUAUGCUAUAAGUGGUAAGUUAAGUGUUAUAUGGAUAUGUAUGCUAUAUGUGGUAAGUUAAGUGUUAUAUGUGCUAUGUAUGAUAUGUGGGCCGGAAGGCAAUAUGUUAUGGGCCGGAAGGCGAUUAUGUUAUGGGCCGGAAGGCGUUGUAAUGAGGACCAGAAGGUCAGGGCCUGGAAAGGCGUAUGUGUGUGAGUUUUCUCACUAUACUGUACCCGGAAGGGUUUGACUGUGUGACCGGAAGGUCGAAUAUGUUAUGUGAUAUGUAUGCUAUAAGUGGUAAGUUAAGUGUUAUAUGGAUAUGUAUGCUAUAUGUGGUAAGUUAAGUGUUAUAUGUGCUAUGUAUGAUAUGUGGGCCGGAAGGCAAUAUGUUAUGGGCCGGAAGGCGAUUAUGUUAUGGGCCGGAAGGCGUUGUAAUGAGGACCAGAAGGUCAGGGCCUGGAAAGGCGUAUGUGUGUGAGUUUUCUCACUAUACUGUACCCGGAAGGGUUUGACUGUGUGACCGGAAGGUCGAAUAUGUUAUGUGAUAUGUAUGCUAUAAGUGGUAAGUUAAGUGUUAUAUGGAUAUGUAUGCUAUAUGUGGUAAGUUAAGUGUUAUAUGUGCUAUGUAUGAUAUGUGGGCCGGAAGGCAAUAUGUUAUGGGCCGGAAGGCGAUU